rnacentral:rRNA from 1 species
GAGUUUGAUCAUGGCUCAGAUUGAACGCUGGCGGCAGGCCUAACACAUGCAAGUCGAACGGUAACAGCAGAGCUUGCUCUGGCUGACGAGUGGCGGACGGGUGAGUAACGCGUAGGAAUCUACCCAGUGGUGGGGGACAACUCGGGGAAACUCGAGCUAAUACCGCAUACGCCCUACGGGGGAAAGCGGGGGAUCUUCGGACCUCGCGCCAUUGGAUGAGCCUGCGUUGGAUUAGCUUGUUGGUGAGGUAAAAGCUCACCAAGGCGACGAUCCAUAGCUGGUCUGAGAGGAUGAUCAGCCACACUGGAACUGAGACACGGUCCAGACUCCUACGGGAGGCAGCAGUGGGGAAUAUUGCGCAAUGGGGGGAAACCCUGACGCAGCCAUGCCGCGUGUGUGAAGAAGGCUUUCGGGUUGUAAAGCACUUUCAGUAGGGAGGAAAGGCAUAAGGCUAAUACCCUUAUGAUUGGACGUUACCUACCGAAAGAAAGCACCGGCUAACUCCGUGCCAGCAAGCCGCGGUAAUACACGGAAGGGUGCAAGCCGUUAUCGGAAAUUACUGG